GAUAGGAAAUUUAGCAAACCUCAUAUAAGUUUGGGAAUAUGGCCCAAAAGUUUCUACCUAGUAACCUUAAAUUACUGGACUAUGAGGGGAAGUUAAUCACAC
rnacentral:ncRNA from 2 species